rnacentral:piRNA from 1 species
UGCAGCCGUGGGCCAUGUGAAUAGGAUCACU